GUUCUCACUUUAGUAGCACAUAUACUAAGAUUGGGAUAAUAGAGAUUAGUGUGGCCCCUGUGCACCCAUGACACACACAUCUGUGAAGUGGUCCCUGGUUUU
rnacentral:snRNA from 1 species